GAUUCGCGGUUAAUCAAUCAUCGCGCCGCCUUAAUGACGUCCCGCUGCUCCCCUAAUGUCUUCUGGCAGGGGCAGCCGCCGCUGGCUCGGAGCUCACGCAGGCACACAUAUGGCCGCCGCGAGUGAGUGACAGGACCCCUUUUGCGCGUGGCGCCCCGCACGCCGGAUGCCAUCAGCCACACACAGCCGCCGCCGGCAAGGAGUGAAACGGUGGAGGAAAAGGAGAGGAGAGAGCCUUAUGAGUCCUGCCUGCCUGCCUGCCUGCUUCGCUGGGCUCCACUGUCAAAAAAUGGUAGGUAGUGGAAAGGUUAGAGCGGGUCAAAUCCUCAGGUCCGACAGGAGAAUAUGGUGGCAGUGAGCCGGUGAUGGUUUCUGGCAUCAAUCUCCUAGAUGCCGUCCUCUGCCGUUGUGCCCUUGAGCAAGUGUGCCAGGGGUACACUGCAACACUAAGAUAUAAUUCCACCAGAUAGGUCCGCCAGAUCAGAGGCAGUAGGGAUGACCAAGGAUGUUCUCUUGAUAGGCUCUCCAGAGGAUGGUGGUGCGGUCUGCACAACGCAUCACUGGGGUCAAACUACUUUCCCUCCAUGACAC